rnacentral:rRNA from 1 species
UUGAUCCUGGCUCAGAAUCAACGCUGGCGGCGUGCCUAACACAUGCAAGUCGAACGAGAAAGUCCCGCAAGGGAUAAGUAAAGUGGCGACCGGGUGAGUUACACGUGGAUAACCUGCCACCUAGUGGGGAAUAACCCUGGGAAACCGGGUCUAAUACCGCAUAACACUUCUGGAGUUCGCUCCGGGAGUUGAAACCCGCUAGGGGCUUGGUGAGGGGUCCGCGGCCGAUUAGCUAGUUGGUGAGGUAAUUGCCCACCAAGGCGAUGAUCGGUAGCCGGCCUGAGAGGGCGGACGGCCACUCUGGAACUGAAACACGGUCCAGACUCCUACGGGAGGCAGCAGUGGGGAAUUUUGCGCAAUGGGGGCAACCCUGACGCAGCAACGCCGCGUGGACGAUGAUGCUUCUUGGAGUGUAAAGUCCUUCCGGCAGGGAAGAAAGUGGAGCAAUCUAUCUGACGGUACCUGAAGAAGAAGCCCCGGCUAACUCCGUGCCAGCAGCUGCGGUAAUAAGGU